rnacentral:lncRNA from 1 species
UGUUUGUAAUGCAGAACAGGAGAAGAGAGAAAGAGAGUCUCGGAGUUCAAAGAAGACUUCAAAAUGUGAACUUGUCAGAGUUUCUGCAUUUUAUCAGUUUUGGAUGGCAUAUUAGCAUCCCAAAUGCAGCAUCUUAAAUGAUUUUGUCGAGUGUGGUUCUUCAGCCGAAUGGGGGAUGAAGUAAAACAAAAAUAAAAGCAAAAAAGAGAGCCUUUUCCAUAUUAGUAAGCAUGCAGCUCAAGUAAAUCAAUUAUCCCUUUCUUGAAGGACUGUGAAGUUACAGUGGCUGAAGCUUCUGAUGAGAGUAAACUUGAAGUAUAAGGCUUGAGGGUUGCCAGAAGCCAAGCAGAUGAAAAGUUCAUUCCCCUGUCAUCAUUUCCCCCCUCCUCUAUUUCUCAUGAUCUCCUAGAUGUAGUCUGAGGGAACAAAAAUCCAGGGCAUUUGAGCCUCCCCAUUUUCAAGUUUCUUCCCCCAACCCCACUUAGCUUUUAGGAGAAUGGAUAAUGAUAGCCAGUGGGCUACUUAGAUGAAUCACUGAUGGAUAUUCCUCAGGGAUAUCCUUGAAAAUAUAUUCCAGGCAGGACACACUUCCUAGUCAUUGCUUGAAAUCUGAGCCAUGGUUCUAUUGCCUGCAGUAAUUCCUUUUCUGCCUUACUGGUGCUCUUCCUCAGCUUUUUCUUUAAUACACAUGUAUAUAUUCAAGACGUGAAAGUGCUAUACUUCCCAUGGGUUCUGCAGUGGGUAAUGGCAAUUAUAGACUCAUUCACUUAUUUUGGGUGUUACUGCUUGGUGAAUAUUGUGUGGCCCCCACCCCAUUCCACCUGAAGUGCUACAUUGAGGAUAAGUAUUGUCCUGUAUCUUGAGUUCAUGAAACACAACAAAACCGCUGACAUUUAAACCGAGGUGAAAAAAGCAUGGCCCUGGGUUUCCAGAUGGUUCCCAAGGUGGUGCUUGUUGUUGUUGAUUUGUAGUCCCCACACUUCUGGCUGCCCCAGUCACC